GCCGUUUAGUAGCACAGCAUCCCACUCCCCUCCUCCACCACAAAACGGCUUCAAUACACCGACGACAGAAAAUUCACACAAUCGCAAUUGAAUCCCUCUCCUUUUCCUUUUAAUUUUGCAACACCAGUAAAUCAUCAUUACCAUGUCUGCUACUCCAUUUCUGUUCGUUUCCUCAAACGUCGUCGCUUCUUUCGCUUGGCAUUCAACCAAGUUUACCUCUUCCACUUCUUUUAAACAUAGUUUCAUCACUUAUUCUAGCUCUCCCAGUUAUAGCAAUGGAAAACGGAGAAUGGAUUGUGCAAGUGCAAGUGAAGAUUCCUAUGCCAAUUCAUCAGAAUCCAUCCCCAAUUCUCGUUCAACGAGUAAAGCUCCCACUGCGCCAUGGAUGACUGAAGAAGCUCUUUUCGACGAAAUGGAAUCGCUGAAGCGGCGACCUAAAAAGGCUCUAGAGUUUGAUCGAGUUGGGGAACAUCCGGAUCAGGAUUUAACCGGAAAGGUCGGGGGUGGAAGGGGCAGGUUAGCGAUGAAGAAAAUUUUUAAAAGCUUUCAGAAACUUCAGGAUUUAGGAGCGGCUGGCAUAAACCCUAACAAUCGUAACUUCAAUUUUGCUCCUGGAGUCCUGUGGGGAAUUGGGGAUAAUUUAGGUGUUGCUGAAGCUGAGGAGAAAGGCAUGGCUGCAUCAAAGAAAUUGCCAUGGGAGAUGGAGGAGAAAAUGGUGAUUAGGAGGGCGAAGAAGGAGAAGGUAGUCACAGCUGCAGAACUGAGCCUUGAUGCAAUGUUGCUGGAACGGCUGAGACAUGAAGCUGCAUUGGUUAGGAAAUGGGUGAAGGUUAUGAAAGCUGGGGUUACUCAAGCUGUUGUUGAUCAAGUUCAUUUGAUUUGGAGAGAUAAUGAGCUCGCAUUGCUUAAAUUUGAUGUUCCAUUGUACCGAAAUAUGGAUAGAGCUCGAGAGAUCGUUGAGUUAAAGACUGGAGGGCUUGUUGUUUGGGGGAGGAAAGACUUUCUUGCUGUUUAUAGAGGGUGCAAUUAUGGGUCUUGUUUGCGAAAUCUUGGAAAUGUGAAUUACAACUCUACUGGCGAUCAAGGAAAUUCUUCCUCAAAUAUUGAUUACCAAAAUACCAUAAUUGUUGCUCAAGUAACUUCUGGUGGAAGUAACCCGGAUGAGUUGAUUCAUGGGAGGGAUGGUAAAUGGGAAAAUUUUCAUAUGGCAUCACUAUAUGAAAGAGAAGCUGAUAGGUUACUGGAUGAGUUAGGCCCUCGCUUUGUUGAUUGGUGGAUGCAAAAGCCUUUACCGGUUGAUGGAGACAUGCUUCCAGCUGUCGUUCCAGGAUAUAUGACACCUUUCAGGCUGUGUCCACCUUUUACUAGCGCAAAGCUUGUAGAUGCUGAGCUUACAUACUUGAGGAAGCUUGCUCGCCUUCAACCAACUCAUUUUGUUCUAGGAAGAAACAGGAAUCUCCAAGGACUAGCUGCAGCAAUCCUAAAAUUGUGGGAAAAAAGCCAUAUAGCAAAGAUCGCUUUAAAGUGGGGAGUCCCAAACACUGACAAUGAACAAAUGGCUAAUGAGCUCAAGAAACUUACUGGAGGAGUUCUUUUACUGCGUAAUAAGUUCUUGAUAAUUCUCUAUAGAGGCAAGGAUUUUGUUCCCUCUGAAGUUGCAAAAGUAGUGGCUGAACGAGAAACAGAGCUCACACAAUGCCAACUUCAUGAAGAAGCUGCCAGACUAAGAGCUAGUGAAAGCUUCUCCAUUACUAGCAAACAUUUAGUUAGCUCGGACGUCAUGGGAACUUUAUCUGAGUUUCAUAGAAUGCAGUCAGAAAUUGGGAGCCUGAAGAAAGCGAACACAGAAGUUGAUGUUAAGCUGGAAGCUGAAAGGGAAAGAUUAGAGAAAGAACUAAAAGAUCAAGAACAAAAGCUCUUCCUUCUUAAGAAGAAGAUUGAGAAAUCCGCAAAGGUAUUAAACAAACUGAGAAAUGAAUCAAGACUACCUGAUGAAGAACCGGAUCUGGAGAUUAUAUCCAAAGAGGAAAGAGUGUGCUUGCGUGAGAUGGGGUUAAGGAUCAGUAGUAGCUUAGUGCUUGGAAGGUGUGGAGUUUAUGAUGGUGUCAUAGAAGGAAUGCAUCAACACUGGAAGCACAGAGAAAUUGUGAAAGUGAUUACGAUGCAGAAAUCUUUUUUGCAGGUCAUGCAUACAGCAAAAUUUGUUGAGGCAGAAAGUGGUGGGAUCUUGGUUGCUGUAGUUAAGCUGAAAGAAGGGCAUGCGAUUAUAGUUUAUCGUGGUAAAAACUAUAAUCGACCUAAGUCAGCUGCAGUAAAUUUGCUGAACAAAAAGGAGGCAUUAUCCAGGUCACUGGAAAUCCAAAGACAUGGACUUUUCCUUCUUCCUCUCCAAUAGUCAUUGAAGUUCUUCGCCAGGCAACGGGAACAGACAAUCUGUGAUAUCAAGCAAAAGCUGGAUGAGCAUUCAGAAAAGAUAGGAUAAUUGCUGAAGCUGAUAAGUGACAUGGGGAUUGUGCUGUGAGCCACACGUAGGUUUGAAAUUGGCAGCUUUUGGGAUGUGCUAUCUGUGGUCUGAUAAAAGCAUUCUGCAGAGGGUUUUUUGGUGAGCCUAUAAGUAAUACAUUCUUUAUCACGAGCCAUAUAAAAUGAUCUUUUGUCUAUUCGUUGAAUUGUCCCUUUUUAGUCUAGGAUGCUGUUAUAAGCCACAAAGGCUUGAAAUGCCGUGUUGCUCAGGCAAUCACCAUAUUAUGAUACGUACGAUUAAGUACAUUCAUGAUUUAAACAACAGCAUCCAACUUGCUUAGAACUCCCAUGAAAAUAGAAUAUUGACCUUGUCAAUGACAGUAGAAUCUAAUCCAUCUACAAGUU